rnacentral:rRNA from 1 species
GACAGAGGGUGCAAACGUUUGUUCGGAAUUACUGGGCGUAAAGCGUGUGUAGGCGGCUUCGUAAGUCGGAUGUGAAAGCCCCGGGCUCAACCCGGGAAGUGCACUCGAUACUGCGAAGCUUGAGUACUGGAGAGGUUGGUGGAAUUCUCGGUGUAGAGGUGAAAUUCGUAGAUAUCGAGAGGAACACCGGUGGCGAAGGCGGCCAACUGGACAGAUACUGACGCUGAGACACGAAAGCGUGGGGGAGCAAACAGG